GCAAGCAUCGCUGUUGAUAGUCAAGAGGAUUGUGAUGGGGUAGGACAACAGGUGUGUCUCCUAAAAAGGGCGGUGGGUGGCAAUGCCACUUUUAUCGUGUCGAUCUCCGGGGACUUCCAGUAUUCUCAGAUCACAUGGUACAAGUUUUAUGCCUCACAAGGGCACACGUUUCACAGCUAUCGACAAAGACUAACCCUGUCAGGAGGUUUACCAACAACUAGCCACAUAUUGAGAAACGGUCUGGCUUUGACGCUCGGAAAGAUUAAAGAAGACGAUUUCUUCCCAAACAAGUUCUGGGUUCAACUGGAGGCAAGCGAGCCAUCGGAGAGCAAGCAGGAGGUUGAGCCCUAUGACUUCACCCACUUUGAGAUGCUCAACCCAACCAGAAUCCGAUAUUACUUUGUGCUGGACAGUGAACCCAUAGGUUAGGAUUCAAAACAAGGAUGUGGGUAAAUUCUUAUUAGGGGAAAUGAGCGUGAUUCAGUUGAAUCCGUAUUACACUGACAUAUCUGAGACUGGCUUCGUGAAAUGGGUCAAGGAACCAGACAACCUCACUCUCAUCCAGACCACAUCAACUGUUUUGGCCAACAGAACUAGUGCGAUUGAAAUUGAUGGGCUAUUGUAUGAUUUAAAAGCAUCAUGUUUUACAGUACUCUAUAUUGAUUUGCAUUUCUGUCUCAACUGCAGUGUGUGGAUGUCUAUACCCUUUAAAAUACAGCAGGGAGCUUUGGGCAUGCACCUUAGGAAUUAUACUUUUCUAAUAGUGGAGUAA